rnacentral:rRNA from 1 species
AUUGAACGCUGGCGGCAGGCCUAACACAUGCACGUCGAGCGAGCGUCGGACGGGUGAGUAAUGUAUGGGGCCUGCCCGCUAGAGGGGGAUAACUACUGGACACGGUGGCUAAUACCGCAUACUAUCGGCUAAACCCUAUGGGAUUAGCUAGUAGGUGGGGUAAAGGCUAACCUAGGCGACGAUGUCUAGCUGGUCUGAGAGGAUGAUCAGCCAAACGGGGGCUUAGACAGGGCCAAGACGACAAGGGAGGCAGCAGGGGGGAAUAUGGCACAAUGGGCGCAAGCCUGAUGCAGCCAUGCCGAGUGUAUGAAGAAGGCCGUAGGGGUGUAAAGUACUUUCAGCGGGGAGGCGUUACCAGCAGAAGAAGCACCGGCUAACUCCGUGCCAGCAGCCGCGGUAAUAC